rnacentral:tRNA from 1 species
CCCUGUUUGGCUUAAUGGUAGAGCGUCGCUCUUGUAAAGCGAAGGUCGGUGGUUCGAUUCCGUCAAUAGGCA